GGAGCUGGAGGCUCUGCUGUGGAUAUCCUGCUGUUUCCAUUUGGCCAACGGAGGAGCUAGAUUAGAUUCCUAUUUGCUAUGCGGACACUCCCAUCUGACAUCCAUUAGAUGUGUCAGGGAGAGCCCAGAAAAUGCAGUGCCUCUGUUUAUUCAGGGUGAGGUGGGGUGACAGCUUGGAGGAUGUCACCAGUUGCUUUGAAGACUCCAAGAUGACUUUCCUUUUUCCUCUGCAUGGUAGUGAAUCUUGGCUCAGGGCUCUAUAAUAGUGCUACUCCAAGUGUUCUUUGUGGACCAGUGCCAGCUUGUGAACUGUUUGUUGCUCUUCUAUGAUGAAUAAAUGAAGACAUUGAGAGGGCACAGGGAAGCUUCACACGACAGAGAGGAGAUUUCUGGCAGCCUGGAGAAGGGGAUCGUCACCACCACUGUCUCAGGCAGCGAGGUCACCUUGUGGAAUGCGACCUCCAGCCAGGCCCCCACCUGCAUCCAGGCCAGCCUGGCAACAGCUGCAAA